GCGGAGGUUGCCAAGCCAGGCCAAAGGCGCUGGACUUAGGAUCCAGUCCCGUAGGGGUUCGCGUGUUCAAAUCACGCCCUCCGCACCA
rnacentral:tRNA from 1 species